AGUUUGAUCAUGGCUCAGAUUGAACGCUGGCGGCAUGCUUUACACAUGCAAGUCGAACGGCAGCGGGGGCUUCGGCCUGCCGGCGAGUGGCGAACGGGUGAGUAAUACAUCGGAACGUGUCCUUAAGUGGGGAAUAACGCAUCGAAAGAUGUGCUAAUACCGCAUAUCUCUCAGGAGGAAAGCAGGGGAUCGAAAGACCUUGCGCUAAAGGAGCGGCUGAUGUCUGAUUAGCUAGUUGGUGGGGUAAAGGCUUACCAAGGCAACGAUCAGUAGCUGGUCUGAGAGGACGACCAGCCACACUGGGACUGAGACACGGCCCAGACUCCUACGGGAGGCAGCAUUGGGGAAUUUUGGACAAUGGGCGAAAGCCUGAUCCAGCCAUGCCGCGUGAGUGAAGAAGGCCUUCGGGUUGUAAAGCUCUUUUAGUCGGAAAGAAAGAGUCAUAGUAAAUAGCUAUGAUUUAUGACGGUACCGACAGAAAAAGCACCGGCUAACUACUUGCCUGCAGCCGCGGUAAUACGUAGGGUGCGAGCGUUAAUCGGAAUUACUGGGUGUAAAGGGUGCGCAUGCGGUCUUGUAAGUCAGAUGUGAAAGCCCCGGGCUUAACCUGUGAAUUGCGUUUGAAACUACAUAGCUAGAGUGCAGCAGAGGGGAGUGGAAUUCCAUGUGUAGUAUUGAAAUGCUUANAGAUGUGGAAUAUCACCGAUGGCGACCCCACUCCCUGGGUUGACACUGACUCUCAUGCACGAU
rnacentral:rRNA from 1 species